GUAUUUAACUGAAGAGUUUGAUCCUGGCUCAGAUUGAACGCUGGCGGCGUGCCUAACACAUGCAAGUCGAGCGGUAACAGGCGUAGCAAUACGUGCUGACGAGCGGCGAACGGGUGAGUAAUGCUUUGGAAUCUUCCCAGUAGUGGGGAAUAACCAGUCGAAAGAUUGGCUAAUACCGCAUACGUCCCUGGUUUGAAAGAAUUGGGGGGAAAGCGGGGGAUCGUAAGACCUCUCGCUAUUGGAUGAGCCAAAGUCGGAUUAGCUAGUUGGUGGGGUAAUGGCCUACCAAGGCGACGAUCCGUAGCUGGUCUGAGAGGACGACCAGCCACACCGGAACUGAGACACGGUCCGGACUCCUACGGGAGGCAGCAGUGGGGAAUAUUGGACAAUGGGGGAAACCCUGAUCCAGCGACGCCGCGUGUGUGAAGAAGGCCUGCGGGUUGUAAAGCA
rnacentral:rRNA from 1 species